rnacentral:rRNA from 1 species
CCGGGUUGCGGACAGUGUCUGGUGGGUAGUUUGACUGGGGCGGUCUCCUCCUAAAGAGUAACGGAGGAGCACGAAGGUUAGCUAAUCCUGGUCGGACAUCAGGAGGUUAGUGCAAAGGCAUAAGCUAGCUUGACUGCGAGAGUGACGGCUCGAGCAGGUGCGAAAGCAGGUCUUAGUGAUCCGGUGGUUCUGAAUGGAAGGGCCAUCGCUCAACGGAUAAAAGGUACUCCGGGGAUAACAGGCUGAUACCGCCCAAGAGUUCAUAUCGACGGCGGUGUUUGGCACCUCGAUGUCGGCUCAUCACAUCCUGGGGCUGAAGUAGGUCCCAAGGGUAUGGCUGUUCGCCAUUUAAAGUGGUACGCGAGCUGGGUUUAGAACGUCGUGAGACAGUUCGGUCCCUAUCUGCCGUGGGCGCUGGAGAAUUGAGGGGGGCUGCUCCUAGUACGAGAGGACCGGAGUGGACGCAUCACUGGUGUUCGGGUUGUCAUGCCAAUGGCAUUGCCCGGUAGCUAAAUGCGGAAGAGAUAAGUGCUGAAAGCAUCUAAGCACGAAACUUGCCCCGAGAUGAGUUCUCCCUGACUCCUUGAGAGUCCUGAAGGAACGUUGAAGACGACGACGUUGAUAGGUCGGGUGUGUAAGUGUAGCGAUACAUUGAGCUAACCGAUACUAAUGAACCGUGAGGCUUAACCUUACAACGCCGAAG